GUGGAUCCUCCCCCCAAAAACAAGAUCAUAUUGAGCAGCAACUUCGAGGAAGAUAGCAUUGGGACAUGCUAUUACCUAUGUAUGGUGACGGGUGUCAUGCCAGAGUCUGUCCGGGUGGGCUCAAGCUAAAGCAGGAGAAGAGAGUUAGCUUUCUGCUGAGUGAGCCCGAACAGGAGCGGACGCACACUAGAUCAGAGCAAGUUUAGCUGGCCCAAUGGCGCAGACACCUACUAGGAUGAGGCAUAGCGAGAAUUGAAGCCCGAACAGAAGCGGAAGCACACUAGAUCAGAGCAAGUUUAGCUGGCCUAAUGGUGCAGACACCUACUAGGAUAAGGCAUAGCGAGAAUUGAACCCACAUCUCGUUGAGCUGCUCCAGCAAGCACCCCUUUCGGAAGCUCAAUUUGUAGGACCGGGGAGAACACUCGCAGGCGUGCAGGCGUUUUGAGAGAGCGCAAAACUCUAACUUGAGUAAGUGCCAGCCAGGCAAAAGGGUUAGCCUGAAGUGGUGGUUUAGCCAAAGGGGGAACGUGCAACGGUUGGAUUCAGCACGCUCUUAGAAUAGCUGUGGAAAUCCGAACGCCUAUCCCAACACGGAGAG
rnacentral:lncRNA from 1 species